rnacentral:misc_RNA from 1 species
AGAAUACUCUUGCCUCACUUUAGCAGGGAUGAGCAUGCAAUGUGUUUAGAGAGAUGCAUAAUGGCAUAUUGGAGAUAUUUGGAUGAUUAGAGUCUAUCAUCCUGUCUUUACUUAUUUUCAAAUUCCAUUGGUACAUCUCAAAGAAUGCAGACCUUACAAAUCAAGGCUAUAAAAAGUUUUUCACCGAACUUGGAGGUCAUAACAAUUGUCCA